AGGGAAUCUUCGGCAAUGGGGGGAACCCUGACCGAGCAACGCCGCGUGAGUGAAGAAGGUUUUCGGAUCGUAAAGCUCUGUUGUUAAGGAAGAACGAGUGUGAGAAUGGAAAGUUCAUACUGUGACGGUACUUAACCAGAAAGGGACGGCUAACUACGUGCCAGCAGCCGCGGUAAUACGUAGGUCCCGAGCGUUGUCCGGAUUUAUUGGGCGUAAAGCGAGCGCAGGCGGUUAGAAAAGUCUGAAGUGAAAGGCAGUGGCUCAACCAUUGUAGGCUUUGGAAACUGUUUAACUUGAGUGCAGAAGGGGAGAGUGGAAUUCCAUGUGUAGCGGUGAAAUGCGUAGAUAUAUGGAGGAACACCGGUGGCGAAAGCGGCUCUCUGGUCUGUCACUGACGCUGAGGCUCGAAAGCGUGGGGAGCGAAC
rnacentral:rRNA from 1 species